UACGUAGGGGGCAAGCGUUGUCCGGAAUCAUUGGGCGUAAAGCGCGUGUAGGCGGUCCGGUAAGUCCGCUGUGAAAGUCCAGGGCUCAACCCUGGGAUGCCGGUCGAUACUGCCGGACUAGAGUUCGGAAGAGGCGAGUGGAAUUCCCGGUGUAGCGGUGAAAUGCGCAGAUAUCGGGAGGAACACCAAUGGCGAAGGCAGCUCGCUGGGACGUUACUGACGCUGAGACGCGAAAGCGUGGGGAGCAAACAGG
rnacentral:rRNA from 1 species